rnacentral:rRNA from 1 species
GAUGAACGCUGGCGGCGUGCCUAAUACAUGCAAGUCGAGCGAACGGACGAGAAGCUUGCUUCUCUGAUGUUAGCGGCGGACGGGUGAGUAACACGUGGAUAACCUACCUAUAAGACUUGGAUAACUUCGGGAAACCGUAGCUAAUACCGGAUAAUAUUUUGAACCGCAUUGUUCAAAAGUGGAAGACGGUCUUGCUGUCACUUAUAGAUGGAUCCGCGCUGCAUUAGCUAGUUGGUAAGGUAACGGCUUACCAAGGCAACGAUGCAUAGCCGACCUGAGAGGGUGAUCGGCCAAACUGGAACUGAGAAACGGUCCAGACUCCUACGGGAGGCAGCAGUAGGGAAUCUUCCGCAAUGGGCGAAAGCCUGACGGAGCAACGCCGCGUGAGUGAUGAAGGUCUUCGGAUCGUAAAACUCUGUUAUUAGGGAAGAACAUAUGUGUAAGUAACUGUGCACAUCUUGACGGUACCUAAUCAGAAAGCCACGGCUAACUACGUG